rnacentral:rRNA from 1 species
UACAGAGGUCUCAAGCGUUGUUCGGAUUCAUUGGGCGUAAAGGGUGCGUAGGCGGCGCGGUAAGUCGGGUGUGAAAUCUCGGGCUUAACUCCGAAACUGCAUUCGAUACUGCCGUGCUUGAGGACUGGAGAGGAGACUGGAAUUUACGGUGUAGCGGUGAAAUGCGUAGAUAUCGUAAGGAAGACCAGUGGCGAAGGCGGGUCUCUGGACAGUUCCUGACGCUGAGGCACGAAGGUCCAGGGGAGCAAACGGG